rnacentral:ncRNA from 2 species
AUUAGUAAGGGUGAUGGAGUUCACCCAAUAACCGCCAUUGAGGCUGAUAACUCCUGCAGGGAG